rnacentral:rRNA from 1 species
CACGUAGGGUGCGAGCGUUGUCCGGAAUUAUUGGGCGUAAAGAGCUCGUAGGCGGUGUGUCGCGUCGGCCGUGAAAACCUGCAGCUUAACUGUGGGCUUGCGGUCGAUACGGGCAUCACUGGAGUUCGGCAGGGGAGACUGGAAUUCCUGGUGUAGCGGUGAAAUGCGCAGAGUAUCAGGGAGGAACACCGGUGGCGAAGGCGGGUCUCUGGGCCGUAACUGACGCUGGAGGAGCGAAAGCGUGGGGAGCGAACAGG